rnacentral:lncRNA from 1 species
GAAAGUGUGUGAGUCAGAUUGAAUUUUUCAGAGCUGCCUGGGGGUUGCUCUGAGUUCUCUGUCAGGUUUCUCUUCAGGUUUUGUCCAGGGUUUUGUUUCAAGGAAACCUCAGAGUAUUUUGCUUCUCUUCCUUUUUCUGUCUGAUCUCUCUCUUUUAUAACCUGAUUUUCAUGGCUUUGUGGGCUCAAAUGAGAGAGGCCCAAGUCCAAGUUUUUUC